rnacentral:rRNA from 1 species
GAUGAACGCUGGCGGCAUGCCUAAUACAUGCCAGUCGAGCGAACAGACGAGGAGCUUGCUCCUCUGACGUUAGCGGCGGACGGGUGAGUAACACGUGGAUAACCUACCUAUAAGACUGGGAUAACUUCGGGAAACCGGAGCUAAUACCGGAUAAUAUAUUGAACCGCAUGGUUCAAUAGUGAAAGACGGUUUUGCUGUCACUUUUAGAUGGAUCCGCGCCGCAUUAGCUAGUUGGUAAGGUAACGGCUUACCAAGGCGACGAUGCGUAGCCGACCUGAGAGGGUGAUCGGCCACACUGGAACUGAGACACGGUCCAGACUCCUACGGGAGGCAGCAGUAGGGAAUCUUCCGCAAUGGGCGAAAGCCUGACGGAGCAACGCCGCGUGAGUGAUGAAGGUCUUCGGAUCGUAAAACUCUGUUAUUAGGGAAGAACAAAUGUGUAAGUAACUAUGCACGUCUUGACGGUACCUAAUCAGAAAGCCACGGCUAACUACGUG